rnacentral:rRNA from 1 species
CACGUAGGCACCAAGCGUUGUCCGGAUUUAUUGGGCGUAAAGAGCUCGUAGGCGGUUCAGUAAGUCGGGUGUGAAAACUCGGGGCUCAACCCCGAGACGCCAUCCGAUACUGCUGUGGCUUGAGUCUGGUAGGGGAACACGGAAUUCCUGGUGUAGCGGUGAAAUGCGCAGAUAUCGGGAGGAAUACCUAUGGCGAAAGCAAGUUUCUGGGCCGUUACUGACGCUGAGGCGCGACAGCGUGGGGAGCAAACAGG